GUAUGUAGAUGGUAUUCAACACAAGGGACCUUUGUGUUUACCUGUUUGUGGAUGGUGUCCAGCACCAGGGACAGGUGUGUUUACCU
rnacentral:pre_miRNA from 1 species